UCCCAGCAGCCUGUGUGCGGCCCAGC
rnacentral:piRNA from 1 species